CCCUAGCCCUGAUGGAGCCGGUAUCCUUUGUGAGGCACGAACAAAGAUAAAGGCGAGAGCAGGAUUAAGC
rnacentral:sRNA from 1 species